rnacentral:lncRNA from 1 species
CGAGGUAAGCCACGGAGGCGCAGGCUCUGGCUCCAGCCUCCAGCAUGCAGCGGUGUCUCUUCCUUCUCCUCGUCUUCCAGCCCGGCAGGAGAAGCUCCCGCUGCUAGCCUCCCUCCUACCGCUCCGUCACCAACACCACCAACAGGGAGGCAGCGCCCUAGGCUCCAGGCUCCAGGCUCCAGCGGGUGAAAACUAAUGGACCCUUCUAGUUCUCUAACCCAGGGUUCGGUGUUUUACUGUUGAGCUGCUCAGUGCCCAGCUUAGAGGACCAGGAAAAGGAGUCACCGGCCAUAUGCUGGAGGCUUGAGACACGGCACAGCGGCGCAGCUCGCCUCGCUAUGUCCUUUAGGUUGUUUGAGGGACAUUCAUCAAGGAAACCGGAGAAACUUAAAAUGCUCUUCCGCUUCUUUGGAACAGUCACAGAGAAAAGUGAACUCCUUUCAUUCUUGCAGUAAUUUUUCUUGCUGAUGGGAACAGUUCAAGUCAAGUGACAUAACCUACUGGGUUGGUGACAUUUACAAGACAGAGUCUUGAGGAUUUUCCAGAACGGGAAAGAUUUUGAAAGAACAAAGAGGAACUACAGAAUCAUUGCUUACAUUGACACCGGC